rnacentral:rRNA from 1 species
AGAUUGAACGCUGGCGGCAGGCCUAACACAUGCAAGUCGAGCGGUAGAGAGAAGCUUGCUUCUCUUGAGAGCGGCGGACGGGUGAGUAAUGCCUAGGGAUCUGCCUAGUGGUGGGGGAUAACGUUCGGAAACGGACGCUAAUACCGCAUACGUCCUACGGGAGAAAGCGGGGGACCUUCGGGCCUCGCGCCAUUAGAUGAGCCUAGGUCGGAUUAGCUAGUUGGUGAGGUAAUGGCUCACCAAGGCGACGAUCCGUAACUGGUCUGAGAGGAUGAUCAGUCACACUGGACUGAGACACGGUCCAGACUCCUACGGGAGGCAGCAGUGGGGAAUAUUGGACAAUGGGCGAAAGCCUGAUCCAGCCAUGCCGCGUGUGUGAAGAAGGUCUUCGGAUUG